UCGAUCAAGUGAAUUAAGGGCAUCUGGUGGAUGCCUUGGCACUGAGAGGCGAUGAAGGACGUAGCACGCUGCGAUAAGCCAUGGGGAGCCGCGAGCAGGCAUUGAUCCGUGGAUUUCCGAAUGGGGAAACCCACCCAGCGAUGGGUAUCUUCAACUGAAUUCAUAGGUUGGAGAAGCGAACCCGGGGAACUGAAACAUCUAAGUACCCGGAGGAAAGGACAUCAACCGAGACUCCGCUAGUAGUGGCGAGCGAACGCGGACCAGGCCAGUGGUCAACUUUACAUAACCGGAAGCGUCUGGAAAGGCGUGCCAGAGUGGGUGAAAGCCCCGUACGGGUAAACCGGAGUUGAUCCUCGAGUAGGGCGGGACACGUGAAAUCCUGUCUGAACGUGGGGGGACCACC
rnacentral:rRNA from 1 species